AUUGAACGCUGGCGGCAGGCUUAACACAUGCAAGUCGAGCGGGGUGAUGGUGCUUGCACUAUCACUUAGCGGCGGACGGGUGAGUAAUGCUUAGGAAUCUGCCUAUUAGUGGGGGACAACAUCUCGAAAGGGAUGCUAAUACCGCAUACGUCCUACGGGAGAAAGCAGGGGAUCACUUGUGACCUUGCGCUAAUAGAUGAGCCUAAGUCGGAUUUGCUAGUUGGUGGGGUAAAGGCCUACCAAGGCGACGAUCUGUAGCGGGUCUGAGAGGAUGAUCCGCCACGCUGGGACUGAGACACGGCCCAUACUCCUACGGGAGUCAGCAGUGGGGAAUAUUGGACAAUGGGGGGAACCCUGAUCCAGACAUGCCGCGUGUGUGAAGAAGGCCUUAUGGUUGUAAAGCACUUUAAGCGAGGAGGAGGCUCUUUUGGUUAAUACCCAAGAUGAGUGGACGUUACUCGCAGAAUAAGCACCGGCUAACUCUGUGCCAGCAGCCGCGGUAA
rnacentral:rRNA from 1 species